rnacentral:rRNA from 1 species
CAGCAGCCGCGGGAAUACGUAGGUGGCAAGCGUUGUCCGGAAUUAUUGGGCGUAAAGGGCUCGCAGGCGGUUUCUUAAGACUGAUGUGAAAGCCCCCGGCUCAACCGGGGAGGGUCAUUGGAAACUGGGAAACUUGAGUGCAGAAGAGGAGAGUGGAAUUCCACGUGUAGCGGUGAAAUGCGUAGAGAUGUGGAGGAACACCAGUGGCGAAGGCGACUCUCUGGUCUGUAACUGACGCUGAGGAGCGAAAGCGUGGGGAGCGAACAGGAUUAGAUACCCCCGUAGUCCCUGUCUCUUAUAC